UCAAUAUAAUUCUAGAUUGUUCAAUUAUUAUUGAUUAAUAAAUUGAUGAAAUUUAAUGGUUACAAUGUUAAAUAGAAAGGAAAAAUAAUAAUUUUGAUAAAAUUUUUCAUCUUUUCAUGUGAACAUUGAUUUUCAUUUUUGGCGCUUCAACCGCAAUGGCUAUUUUUUUAGUCACUUGAUCGAUGAAUCACAAUGAUUUUACAGUUUGCUUUUUCUGUUUACUUGUUUAAAUUGUAAUUGCUUCAAUGGUUUAUUUUUAUUUCUUAUAUUCAACAUUCAAGAAUGAAAAGCUACUUUUAUUAUCAUCGUCCUCGACUAUUGGUUAACCUCGAUGAACUGCUGUAUUUUCUGGCUUCUCAGGACACACCAAUUCAAUAAUUUACUGUUCUUAUUAAAUCUGAUGAUGGUGAUGAAAAGAAAUGGUUUUUGGCUCUUUUGUUUGGUCUCCAGAAAGAGUUGAAAAUAUGAAAGGUGAUUGUUAAAAGCAAAGAGAGAGAGAGAAAAAAAGCAAAGAUGAUUUCAAGAAUUGCAGGUUACGAUGAAGAUCAAAAUUGUUCACUGGCUCACAAUUCAUUGAUGAUUUUUCAAAUAAUAACACAAAGAAAUCAGAGGAAAAUUGGAAAUGGAAAAGUUGAUGGAAAGCUAAACAUAACCAUUCUACACAUCUCUUCUAAUGGAAAUUUGUUUUUGUUUGCUUACCACUGAGCUAAUGUUUCUCGUUCAAUUAUGAAGAUGAUGGUGACUUUAAUUGUUAAAAGAGUUGUUCCUGUUAUGACAAGGCUUGUUUUAUAGUGAGGGAAAAGUGUAGUUUUUCAAGAAAAAUGGCUUAAUAAUGUUAAUCAUCUAAAGUUUUCCUGGAUGGUUGCAACUAACAGGGUAGAGACAAAAAGAUAUUGGAAUACUUUCCCAGGAAAAUGAAUAUCAUCUAUGAUAAUGAAUACACUUUGGCUGUGAAACUUUAUUGGAAACUGUAAACCCAUAAUUGAAAGGAUCGAGAAUAGAGAUGGAAAUGAGUGAUAAUAUUUGUUCCUACCUUGAGAAGUUGAUAAAAGUUGAAGAUAACUGCUCAAUAAUGCAAGCGACAUGAUCAAAAUUAUGAGAUGGAGCAGGUAAAUGUUUGGUUCCAGAUAACAAUUCAUUGAAUCCGAAAAUGGGUAAACAUUGUUAACUUGACUGAAAAAAAUCCAACCCAAGACAGAAACACAAUCACAAUUGCAGUAUAAAACAACGGAAUCAACUAUCAACAAAAAAUUGUAUCCAGUUGGUAAAGAGGACAAGUUGAAAUUACACUAAACCAGUCCAUAACAGUGAACAAAUCGUGUUAUAUCAAAGGUGAAACAUUAUUAACAUGCUUAAGCCAGUUGAACUGAAAUUACGAGUUGAAUAUUGGUGAAGAGUAAAGACAGAAGAAAAAAAAGUUCACAUUUUGUUCAUCUCUAUUGUUGAAAUGAAUCUGAAAAAAGGUAAAAGUUUUCUCUCGGCAUAAAGAGUAAAGGAAUCAUUUUAGGAACUCAAAUAUGCUCAGAAUGAACAUGAGCAGAGUUAUCUGAUGAGCUGAGAAAGACUCUUUGGGAGGGAAAAUAGUAAAACUACUGGUUACUACUGCUACUACUGAAUAAUGGUAAUAAUAAUAGUAAUAAUAAAUUGACAAUCAAAUUUGUGUCAACCUUUUACUU